UUUGAAUUGAAAUUAUGACCAUAACUGAAGGAAAGAUUUUUUUUGGAUAAAUUCAAAUCAUAUAACCAAUUCUGAUUUCUUUGACUACAGUUAUUCUGUGUCAGAAACCUAUUAUGUGUCAAAUAUUGAAUUACAAUCCAAAUUCAGACCUGUAUCAAGCGCGAAUAUUGUGUCCAUUUUUGCCCCAACUGUUCAGGGUUGGACCUCUGUGGUUGUAUCCAGCUGCGCUCGGCGAUUUAUUCCUUCUGGAAACAUUCAAAAUUUAUAUUCAGCCCCCCCCCCCCAAAAAAAACAUAGGUUUUCAAUAAAUUAUCUGUUGGUAUAUGUCUUCCUCAUUUUGAUCAUCUUUAUAUCUAUAAAAUUAAUAGACAUUUUUGUAUGAUUGUUUUAAAGAUUUUUAUUCUUUUUUCUUAUGUAACUUUUAGUCUUUAUAUUGGUGAAAUAGUACUGACAAAGAUAAUACUAAAUAUAUUGUUUUUGUUUCAAGUCUUAUGACUAGCUUGGUAUUAAACAUGAUUGAAACUCUCAAAAGGAUCAGAGGCAAAAUUGCACUAAAAAUAAUGAGUAAAGCAGGAAAGACUUUUCAGUGUGUGCACUCUUGUUUCAAAUUCUUUGAUCUCUCCUGGAAGUUAUGAAAGUAAUAGACUGAAUGCUGUGUAUAACCACCCUGUUUAAAAAAAAGUAUGAUACUUACUUGCUUUGCCAGUUUUUUUACCAUUUUGUAGUAACCUCAUAAAGUUUUAACAUGGCAGCUAACACCAUUUUUAAGUCACUAUUGUAUGUCCCUGUUUUCAAAAAUUGCAGUUGCUGUUUCAAAAAAAUCAUACUGCAAGAAUUGUUUGUAAGUUAUUUACUGAAAUGUUCAUGACUGAAGAGUAUUUUUUCUCUUUCGAAUUUUUGUGAAAUUUGUCCUAAUUUUUAACAUUGCAGAGUAAUGCAUCUGUAGAAAAACAAGUUUCAAUAUGACAGCUUCUGGUGCAGUAAAAUAUGUACCAUUACUAUGACAGUUUUAGAUAAAUUCCCCUGGUAAAGAAAUGUUCAACAUCACAGUUUUACUGUCUAGAGAUGCCAUGUAAUCAAUGCAGACUCAAGUUUAUUAUAGUUAAUUAAUUCCUUGUAAGUUACAGCAAAAUCAAUCUAUAUAUUGUGAUAAGUCUCAAGUAAUAGAAUUAAGAAUUUCCAGUAACAAUUAUUUUUACCAUUUAUUACUGUUUGAAUUAUAUAUUGUAAUAUAAAAAUA
rnacentral:lncRNA from 1 species